rnacentral:rRNA from 1 species
GUUUGAUCAUGGCUCAGAACGUACGCUGGCGGCACGCCUAAUACAUGCAAGUCGAACGGAGUAGCAAUACUUAGUGGCAGACGGGUGAGUAACAUGUGGGUAUCUUCCCUUUGGUGAGGAAUAACACGAGGAAACUUGUGCUAAUACCUCAUAAGUCUUUACGGAGAAAGCUUUAUGCGCCAAUGGAUGAGCCCGCACUUGAUUAGUUUGUUGGUAGGGUAAUGGCCUACCAAGACUGUGAUCAAUAGCUGAUUUGAGAGGAUGAUCAGCCACAUUGGGACUGAGACACGGCCCAAACUCCUACGGGAGGCAGCAGUAGGGAAUCUUGCACAAUGGAGGAAACUCUGAUGCAGCGAUGCCGCGUGAGUGAAGAAGGCCCUUGGGUUGUAAAGCUCUUUCGUCGGGGAAGAAAAUGACUGUACCCGAAUAAGAAGGUCCGGCUAACUUCGUGCCAGCAGCCGCGGUAAUACGAAGGGACCUAGCGUAGUUCGGAAUUACUGGGCUUAAAGAGUUCGUAGGUGGUUAAAAAAGUUGGUGGUGAAAGCCCAGAGCUUAACUCUGGAAUUGCCAUCAAAACUUUUUAGCUAGAGUUUGAUAGAGGAAAGCAGAAUUUCUAGUGUAGAGGUGAAAUUCGUAGAUAUUAGAAAGAAUACCGAUUGCGAAGGCAGCUUUCUGGAUCAUUACUGACACUGAGGAACGAAAGCAUGGGUAGCGAAGAGGAUUAGAUACCCUCGUAGUCCAUGCCGUAAACGAUGUGUGUUAGAUGUUGGAAAUUUAUUUUCAGUAUCACAGCGAAAGCAAUAAACACACCGCCUGGGGAGUACGACCGCAAGGUUA